rnacentral:rRNA from 1 species
CCCCUAGAUGUUCUGGGCCGCACGCGCGCUACACUGACGAAUGCAACGAGCUUAUAACCUUGGCCGAAAGGUCUGGGUAAUCUCCAAAUUUCGUCGUGAUGGGGAUAGAUUAUUGUAAUUAUUAAUCUUCAACGAGGAAUGCCUAGUAAGCGCAAGUCAUCAGCUUGCGUUGAUUACGUCCCUGCCCUUUGUACACACCGCCCGUCGCUCCUACCGAUUGAAUGGUCCGGUGAAGCGUUCGGACCGUGGCCUUUGGACGGUUCGCCGUCUGUUGGCUGCGGGAAGUUCGUUAAACCUUAUCAUUUAGAGGAAGGAGAANUCGUAACA